GCAAACUUGGUCAUUUAGAGGAAGUAAAAGUCGUAACAAGGUCUCCGUUGGUGAACCAGCGGAGGGAUCAUUACCGAGUUAUACAACUCAUCAACCCUGUGAACAUACCUAUAACGUUGCCUCGGCGGGAACAGACGGCCCCGUAACACGGGCCGCCCCCGCCAGAGGACCCCCUAACUCUGUUUCUAUAAUGUUUCUUCUGAGUAAACAAGCAAAUAAAUUAAAACUUUCAACAACGGAUCUCUUGGCUCUGGCAUCGAUGAAGAACGCAGC
rnacentral:misc_RNA from 1 species